rnacentral:rRNA from 1 species
UACGGAGGGAGCAAGCGUUACUCGGAAUUAUUGGGCGUAAAGGGCGCGUAGGCGAUCUGACAAGUCUGGUGUGAAAGCCCACAUGUUAACUGUGGAAGUGCAUUAGAAACUGUUGGAUUUGAGUUCAGGAGAGGAAGGCAGAAUUCCCGGUGUAGCGGUGAAAUGCGUAGAGAUCGGGAGGAAUACCAGUGGCGAAGGCGGCAUCCUGGACCGGUAUUGACACUGAGGCGCGAAAGCCAGGGGAGCAAACGGG